GAUGAACGCUGGCGGCGUGCUUAACACAUGCAAGUCGAGCGAAGCACUUUACUUAGAUUUCUUCGGGAUGAAGAGUUUUGUGACUGAGCGGCGGACGGGUGAGUAACGCGUGGGUAACCUGCCUCAUACAGGGGGAUAACAGUUAGAAAUGACUGCUAAUACCGCAUAAGACCACAGCACCGCAUGGUGCAGGGGUAAAAACUCCGGUGGUAUGAGAUGGACCCGCGUCUGAUUAGCUGGUUGGUGGGGUAACGGCCUACCAAGGCAACGAUCAGUAGCCGGCCUGAGAGGGCGACCGGCCACAUUGGGACUGAGACACGGCCCAAACUCCUACGGGAGGCAGCAGUGGGGAAUAUUGCACAAUGGGGGAAACCCUGAUGCAGCGACGCCGCGUGAAGGAAGAAGUAUUUCGGUACGUAAACUUCUAUCAGCAGGGAAGAAAAUGACGGUACCUGACUAAGAAGCCCCGGCUAACUACGUGCCAGCCGCCGCCGUAA
rnacentral:rRNA from 1 species